AUGUCGUUGCAAAGAAGGGCGAGACUAUAAUGCACCUGAUAGCAAAUGGGAAAUAAAGCGCUGUCAGUGUUGUGGUUCCAGUGGCACACAUUUAGCCUGCUCCUCAUUACGGUCAUGGGAGCAAAAUUGGGAGUGUUUGGAAUGUAGGGGUAUUAUCUACAAUUCAGGAGAGUUCCAAAAAGCCAAAAAACAUGUAUUACCCAAUUCUAAUAAUGUGGGGAUUACAGAUUGUUUGUUGGAAGAGUCAUCACCUAAAUUACCCAGACAGUCACCUGGAUCCCAGAGUAAAGAUCUACUGAGAUAAAUACUGCAACAACUGUAGCUGACUUAAAGUCAAUAAUAAAUGAAUGCUAUAACUACCUUGAGUUAAUUGGAUGUCUCAGACUUAUAACGACAUUAAGUGAUAAAUAUAUGUUAGUAAAAGACAUACUUGGCUACCAUGUAAUUCAGAGAGUCCACACACCCUUUGAAAGUUUUAAGCAGGGUCUGAAAACCCUUGGUGUUUUGGAGAAAAUUCAGGCUUAUCCAGAAGCAUUUUGUAGCAUCCUGUGUCAUAAACCUGAGAGUCUUUCUGCAAAAAUCCUUAGUGAGCUUUUUACAGUACACACAUUACCUGAUGUGAAAGCUUUGGGGUUUUGGA
rnacentral:lncRNA from 1 species